AACGAACGCUGGCGGCAGGCUUAACACAUGCAAGUCGAACGCCCCGCAAGGGGAGUGGCAGACGGGUGAGUAACGCGUGGGAACAUACCCUUUCCUGCGGAAUAGCUCUGGGAAACUAGAAUUAAUACCGCAUACGCCCUACGGGGGAAAGAUUUAUCGGGGAAGGAUUGGCCCGCGUUGGAUUAGCUAGUUGGUGGGGUAAAGGCCUACCAAGGCGACGAUCCAUAGCUGGUCUGAGAGGAUGAUCAGCCACAUUGGGACUGAGACACGGCCCAAACUCCUACGGGAGGCAGCAGUGGGGAAUAUUGGACAAUGGGCGCAAGCCUGGUCCAGCCAUGCCGCGUGAGUGAUGAAGGCCUUAGGGUUGUAAAGCUCUUUCACCGAUGAAGAUAAUGACGGUAGUCGGAGAAGAAGCCCCGGCUAACUUCGUGCCAGCCGCCGCAGUAAUAC
rnacentral:rRNA from 1 species